AUCUUCACUUCCUUCUUUCUUUUCUUUCUCAAUAGUUUCUUCAAUGUUUUGGAUGGUGACAACUUCUUCCUGGCUUGGAAUAUCAUCAAUCUUGUCACUCAAAGUGCCCGCCUCAGUUUCAGCAGCCAUAACAGUUGAUAACUCUUCAGGUUCUCCUGGUUCAAUUCUCUGCAGUUCUUGUUCAGAAUCUUCUUGGACCUUCGAUGCUUCCCUUGCGCUGUCCAGGUUAGUCACGGUUAGGUCAGGAUUGCUAUCAUUUCCAUCAUCUGCUCUGUCCAAAGAUCCAUGCUCUUCUUUCUUUUCUUUCUCUACGGUUUCUUCAAUGUUUUGGAUUGUGACAACUUCUUCCUGGCUUGUAAUAUCAUCAAUCUUGUCACUCAAAUUGCCUGCCUCAGUUUCAGCAGCCAUAACAGUUGAUGACUCUUCAGG